CACGUAGGCGGAUUGGCAAGUUGGGGGUGAAAUCCCAGGGCUCAACCCUGGAACUGCCUCCAAAACUUCCGGUCUUGAGGUCGAGAGAGGUGAGCGGAAUUCCGAGUGUAGAGGUGAAAUUCGUAGAUAUUCGGAGGAACACCAGUGGCGAAGGCGGCUCACUGGCUCGAUACUGACGCUGAGGUGCGAAAGCGUGGGGAGCAAACA
rnacentral:rRNA from 1 species